rnacentral:lncRNA from 1 species
GUUUAACACUCAGAUUUCACCUCCUCCGGGGGCUGACCCGGAUCUCCUAGGCGGAGAUCUUUGAGGUUCCAAAGUACUUGGCCCAAAAGUUAUCCAAGUGUUCUGACGUCAUCGUGCAACCCAAUCAGUGAAGGAUCCUGUCUGGAUAUGCAUUGUCCUAGGCCCACCCACAAACGUUUGGAUUAAAGAUCUGAGACAGGACCCAAAGUUUGAAUUUUUAACAAGAGUGCUUCCCAACCCCCAAAUUGUUCCCAUGUCACGCUGCUGUAUCUCCCCUCACCCACCGAGACUGGGUGCAUCUUGAAGGGAGAGAUGAUAUAUUACUCAUUCGGUGCCCACCACAGGCCCUGCCCAGAACGCAUGCUUAAGGCAUGAAAGAUGGAUGCAUAGAAGCCAAUACAUGAAUUAGUGAACAAACGAAUGAACCCGCCCUCUCCACGUCUGUCCCACCCAUCCAACUCCAGUGACCUGUCCUCCUCAGCCUGACCACCUCUCUUUCUUACAGGGUCGAGGCUCUUUGUGCACCCUCCCAACCGAGUCUUGCAGCUGCAGGUGUGUACACAUGUUCCAGUUCCUCUCCCCAGGGAGAGCAGGAGGUCCACUGGCCAACACUUAUUAAGCACCUGGUGGCCCAGAUUUCAGAACCAAAGCUCAUCACAAGGAAGCAACCUGCAAACCCAACAUUUUCUAAGAUAGAGUGGAUAGAGUUUUGAAAGAAGGUGAACAUUCUGCAUGUCAAGGUGAGGCUGAGGUGCUGUAUCAGAUUAAGGAAGAAUAAAGACCUGUGAUCACUGAAUGCAGUCUUUGGCUCUGGAUUGCAUCCUGUGGCCAGAACAAACAAAAAGACGAAAAAGCUACAGAACACAUGAUUUGG